UACAGGUGGUCAGGUCGAGUAGACCAAGGCGCUUGAGAGAACUCUGCUGAAGGAACUAGGCAAAAUGGUACCGUAACUUCGGGAGAAGGUACGCUGUUGUUGGUGAUGGAACUCGCUUCCUGAGCUGACGACAGCCGCAGAAACCAGGCCGCUGCAACUGUUUAUUAAAAACAUAGCACUCUGCAAACACGAAAGUGGACGUAUAGGGUGUGAUGCCUGCCCGGUGCUGGAAGGUUAAUUGAUGGGGUUAGCGUAAGCGAAGCUCUUUAUCGAAGCCCCAGUAAACGGCGGCCGUAACAAUAACGGUCCUAAGGUAGCGAAAUUCCUUGUCGGGUAAGUUCCGACCUGCACGAAUGGCAUAAUGAUGGCGGCGCUGUCUCCAGCAGAGGCUCAGUGAAAUCGAAAUCGCUGUGAAGAUGCAGUGUACCCGCGGCUAGACGGAAAGACCCCGUGAACCUUCACUGCAGCUUGACACUGAACUUUGACCUUACUUGUGUAGGAUAGGUGGGAGGCUUUGAAGCUGGAACGCUAGUUCCAGUGGAGCCGUCCUUGAAAUACCACCCUGGUAAUGUUGAGGUUCUAACUCUGUCCCGUGAUCCGGGACGAGGACCGUGUCUGGUGGGUAGUUUGACUGGGGCGGUCUCCUCCUAAAGAGUAACGGAGGAGUACGAAGGUGCGCUCAGCGUGGUCGGAAAUCACGCGUAGAGUAUAAAGGCAAAAGCGCGCUUAACUGCGAGACCCACAAGUCGAGCAGGUACGAAAGUAGGUCUUAGUGAUCCGGUGGUUCUGUAUGGAAGGGCCAUCGCUCAACGGAUAAAAGGUACUCUGGGGAUAACAGGCUGAUACCGCCCAAGAGUUCAUAUCGACGGCGGUGUUUGGCACCUCGAUGUCGGCUCAUCUCAUCCUGGGGCUGAAGCAGGUCCCAAGGGUAUGGCUGUUCGCCAUUUAAAGAGGUACGCGAGCUGGGUUUAGAACGUCGUGAGACAGUUCGGUCCCUAUCUACCGUGGGCGCUGGAAAUUUGAGAGGAUCUGCUCCUAGUACGAGAGGACCAGAGUGGACGAACCUCUGGUGUACCGGUUGCGACGCCAGUCGCAUCGCCGGGUAGCUAUGUUCGGAAGGGAUAACCGCUGAAAGCAUCUAAGCGGGAAGCCUACCUCAAGAUAAGAUUUCCCUAGGACUUUAUGUCCUCUAAAGAGCCG
rnacentral:rRNA from 1 species